GAGUUUGAUCUUGGCUCAGGACGAACGCUGGCGGCGUGCUUAACACAUGCAAGUCACGGGGGUCCGCAAGGGCAACCGGCGAACGGGUGCGUAACACGUGAGCAAUCUGCCGAUUUCUGGGGGAUAGCCGGCCCAACGGCCGGGUAAUACCGCAUACGCUCAUGGGGUGGAGUCACUCUAUGAGGAAACCUCCGGGGGAGAUCGAGGAGCUCGCGGCCUAUCAGCUUGUUGGCGAGGUAAUGGCUCACCAAGGCGAUGACGGGUAGCUGGUCUGAGAGGAUGGCCAGCCACAUUGGGACUGAGAGACGGCCCAGACUCCUACGGGAGGCAGCAGUGGGGAAUCUUGCGCAAUGGCCGAAAGGCUGACGCAGCGACGCCGCGUGUGGGAUGACGCCUUUCGGGGUGU
rnacentral:rRNA from 1 species